UGGAGUUGCCAAUGAUGGGUCACGCCAGCAUGUCUGAACCUGGCUGAUAUCUUCUGAUGCCCUUUAUGGCUCUGAGGCUUCUACCGCA
rfam:Alligator mississippiensis ScZkoYb_1199, whole genome shotgun sequence.